rnacentral:rRNA from 1 species
CAGGUUUACCUGUGUGACUGCGUACCUUUUGUAUAAUGGGUCAGCGACUUAUAUUCUGUAGCAAGGUUAACCGAAUAGGGGAGCCGGAGGGAAACCGAGUCUUAACCGGGCGUUAAGUUGCAGGGUAUAGACCCGAAACCCGGUGAUCUAGCCAUGGGCAGGUUGAAGGUUGGGUAACACUAACUGGAGGACCGAACCGACUAAUGUUGAAAAAUUAGCGGAUGACCUGUGGCUGGGGGUGAAAGGCCAAUCAAACCGGGAGAUAGCUGGUUCUCCCCGAAAGCUAUUUAGGUAGCGCCUCGUGAAUUCAUCUCCGGGGGUAGAGCACUGUUUCGGCUAGGGGGCCAUCCCGGCUUACCAACCCGAUGCAAACUGCGAAUACCGGAGAAUGUUAUCACGGGAGACACACGGCGGGUGCUAACGUCCGUCGUGAAGAGGGAAACAACCCAGACCGCCAGCUAAGGUCCCAAAGUCAUGGUUAAGUGGGAAACGAUGUGGGAAGGCCCAGACAGCCAGGAUGUUGGCUUAGAAGCAGCCAUCAUUUAAAGAAAGCGUAAUAGCUCACUGGUCGAGUCGGCCUGCGCGGAAGAUGUAACGGGGCUAAACCAUGCACCGAAGCUGCGGCAGCGACGCUGAUGCGUUGUUGGGUAGGGGAGCGUUCUGUAAGCCUGCGAAGGUGGCCUGUGAGGGUUGCUGGAGGUAUCAGAAGUGCGAAUGCUGACAUAAGUAACGAUAAAGCGGGUGAAAAGCCCGCUCGCCGGAAGACCAAGGGUUCCUGUCCAACGUUAAUCGGGGCAGGGUGAGUCGACCCCUAAGGCGAGGCCGAAAGGCGUAGUCGAUGGGAAACGGGUUAAUAUUCCCGUACUUGGUGUUACUGCGAAGGGGGGACGGAGAAGGCUAUGUUGGCCGGGCGACGGUUGUCCCGGUUUAAGCGUGUAGGCUGGUUUUCCAGGCAAAUCCGGAAAAUCAAGGCUGAGGCGUGAUGACGAGGCACUACGGUGCUGAAGCAACAAAUGCCCUGCUUCCAGGAAAAGCCUCUAAGCAUCAGGUAACAUCAAAUCGUACCCCAAACCGACACAGGUGGUCAGGUAGAGAAUACCAAGGCGCUUGAGAGAACUCGGGUGAAGGAACUAGGCAAAAUGGUGCCGUAACUUCGGGAGAAGGCACGCUGACACGUAGGUGAAGUGAUUUACUCAUGGAGCUGAAGUCAGUCGAAGAUACCAGCUGGCUGCAACUGUUUAUUAAAAACACAGCACUGUGCAAACACGAAAGUGGACGUAUACGGUGUGACGCCUGCCCGGUGCCGGAAGGUUAAUUGAUGGGGUCAGCGCAAGCGAAGCUCCUGAUCGAAGCCCCGGUAAACGGCGGCCGUAACUAUAACGGUCCUAAGGUAGCGAAAUUCCUUGUCGGGUAAGUUCCGACCUGCACGAAUGGCGUAAUGAUGGCCAGGCUGUCUCCACCCGAGACUCAGUGAAAUUGAACUCGCUGUGAAGAUGCAGUGUACCCGCGGCAAGACGGAAAGACCCCGUGAACCUUUACUAUAGCUUGACACUGAACAUUGAGCCUUGAUGUGUAGGAUAGGUGGGAGGCUUUGAAGUGUGGACGCCAGUCUGCAUGGAGCCGACCUUGAAAUACCACCCUUUAAUGUUUGAUGUUCUAACGUGGACCCGUUACCCGGGUUGCGGACAGUGUCUGGUGGGUAGUUUGACUGGGGCGGUCUCCUCCUAAAGAGUAACGGAGGAGCACGAAGGUUGGCUAAUCCUGGUCGGACAUCAGGAGGUUAGUGCAAUGGCAUAAGCCAGCCUGACUGCGAGCGUGACGGCGCGAGCAGGUGCGAAAGCAGGUCAUAGUGAUCCGGUGGUUCUGAAUGGAAGGGCCAUCGCUCAACGGAUAAAAGGUACUCCGGGGAUAACAGGCUGAUACCGCCCAAGAGUUCAUAUCGACGGCGGUGUUUGGCACCUCGAUGUCGGCUCAUCACAUCCUGGGGCUGAAGUAGGUCCCAAGGGUAUGGCUGUUCGCCAUUUAAAGUGGUACGCGAGCUGGGUUUAGAACGUCGUGAGACAGUUCGGUCCCUAUCUGCCGUGGGCGCUGGAGAACUGAGGGGGGCUGCUCCUAGUACGAGAGGACCGGAGUGGACGCAUCACUGGUGUUCGGGUUGUCAUGCCAAUGGCACUGCCCGGUAGCUAAAUGCGGAAGAGAUAAGUGCUGAAAGCAUCUAAGCACGAAACUUGCCCCGAGAUGAGUUCUCCCUGAGACUUAGAGUCUCCUGAAGGAACGUUGAAGACGACGACGUUGAUAGGCCGGGUGUGUAAGCGCAGCGAUGCGUUGAGCUAACCGGUACUAAUGAACCGUGAGGCUUAACCUUACAACGCCGAAG